GGAAGUCCGGUGCAAAUCCGGCACGGUCGCGCCACUGUAAGCCCAGCCCAGCGCCAGGCGAGUCAGAC
rnacentral:ncRNA from 1 species